rnacentral:rRNA from 1 species
AUUGAACGCUGGCGGCAGGCCUAACACAUGCAAGUCGGACGGUAGCACAGAGAGCUUGCUCUUGGGUGACGAGUGGCGGACGGGUGAGUAAUGUCUGGGGAUCUGCCCGAUAGAGGGGGAUAACCACUGGAAACGGUGGCUAAUACCGCAUAACGUCGCAAGACCAAAGAGGGGGACCUUCGGGCCUCUCACUAUCGGAUGAACCCAGAUGGGAUUAGCUAGUAGGCGGGGUAAUGGCCCACCUAGGCGACGAUCCCUAGCUGGUCUGAGGGGAUGACCAGCCACACUGGAACUGAGACACGGUCCAGACUCCUACGGGAGGCAGCAGUGGGGAAUAUUGCACAAUGGGCGCAAGCCUGAUGCAGCCAUGCCGCGUGUAUGAAGAAGGCCUUCGGGUUGUAAAGUACUUUCAGCGGGGAGGAAGGCGAUGUGGUUAAUAACCGCAUCGAUUGACGUUACCCGCAGAAGAAGCACCGGCUAGCUCCGUGCCAGCAGCCGCGGUAAUACGGAGGGAGCAAGCGUUAAUCGGAAUUACUGGGCGUAAAGCGCACGCAGGCGGUCUGUUAAGUCAGAUGUGAAAUCCCCGGGCUUAACCUGGGAACUGCAUUUGAAACUGGCAGGCUUGAGUCUUGUAGAGGGGGGUAGAAUUCCAGGUGUAGCGGUGAAAUGCGUAGAGAUCUGGAGGAAUACCGGUGGCGAAGGCGGCCCCCUGGACAAAGACUGACGCUCAGGUGCGAAAGCGUGGGGAGCAAACAGGAUUAGAUACCCUGGUAGUCCACGCCGUAAACGAUGUCGACUUGGAGGUUGUUCCCUUGAGGAGUGGCUUCCGGAGCUAACGCGUUAAGUCGACCGCCUGGGGAGUACGGCCGCAAGGUUAAAACUCAAAUGAAUUGACGGGGGCCCGCACAAGCGGUGGAGCAUGUGGUUUAAUUCGAUGCAACGCGAAGAACCUUACCUACUCUUGACAUCCAGAGAACUUUCCAGAGAUGGAUUGGUGCCUUCGGGGACUCUGAGACAGGUGCUGCAUGGCUGUCGUCAGCUCGUGUUGUGAAAUGUUGGGUUAAGUCCCGCAACGAGCGCAACCCUUAUCCUUUGUUGCCAGCGCGUGAUGGCGGGAACUCAAAGGAGACUGCCGGUGAUAAACCGGAGGAAGGUGGGGAUGACGUCAAGUCAUCAUGGCCCUUACGAGUAGGGCUACACACGUGCUACAAUGGCGCAUACAAAGAGAAGCGACCUCGCGAGAGCAAGCGGACCUCACAAAGUGCGUCGUAGUCCGGAUCGGAGUCUGCAACUCGACUCCGUGAAGUCGGAAUCGCUAGUAAUCGUGGAUCAGAAUGCCACGGUGAAUACGUUCCCGGGCCU